UACGUAGGGGGCAAGCGUUGUCCGGAUUUAUUGGGCGUAAAGAGCGUGUAGGCGGUUUGGUAGGUCCGCUGUGAAAACUCGAGGCUCAACCUCGAGACGCCGGUGGAAACCAUCAGACUAGAGUCCGGAAGAGGAGAGUGGAAUUCCUGGUGUAGCGGUGAAAUGCGCAGAUAUCAGGAGGAACACCGGUGGCGAAGGCGGUUCUCUGGGCAUUACCUGACGCUGAGGAGCGAAAGCAUGGGGAGCGAACAGG
rnacentral:rRNA from 1 species